UGGCCAUGUCACGUUAAAACACCGGUUCCCGUACGAUCACCGAAGUUAAGCAUCGUUGAGCCUGGUCAGUACCGGGA